rfam:Helianthus annuus linkage group 7, whole genome shotgun sequence.
AGACCAUGAUGUGGGCAUUUCCUUAAUAGCUCCUUGAACUUUUCCCACAUCUCGUACAAUGAUUCCCCAUCGUAUUGAGAUUAGGAGUUAAUCUCGGUCAUGAGUUU